UCCCUUACUCACUCCCCUCCUUCGCACUUUGAAUGCAUAGAUGCCUCCUGACCUGGUUUUUUUUUUUUUUUCAAAUCAAUGAGGUCAAUUCUAAGAUAGUGCCCUUAGUUCCCUUGAGCAACAAUCACUUUCCAUCUACCUUUAAGAAAUCAAUCAGUCUGAAGUCAGCACAUUGGAAAGGACUCUGCCCCUGGAAAGGGUAGCAAAGAAGAGAGCUGUUCUGAUAACCAGUCAGAUCAGCAGAGACAGUUCUACAAACUCAGCCCUGCCAUGACUUGAGAAGUGACUGGAGUGGUUGGAUGCCUUUGAAGGUACACACCAUUAACACUGAAGGAAUGAAGAAGAAUUUCUCCUCUUCAAGGCUCUUGAACCACUUCCACCCCUCACAUAGGCAUGAAAUUAAGAAAAUGAGACCCAGAAGGUUCAUAAUUCAAGUUUUUGACACCUGGUUUAGUGUCCUCACUACAAUGCACUGAAAGGAAAAUGCUGCCAGGACCCACUAGCCAUGAAGUCCUUCAAAUACCAGUUAUAGAUUGAUGGCUAAAUUCGGAGAGAUUCUUCAUUCAAGGGCUGGCCAUAAGAUGAUUGAUUUUGAGGGACAUAACUCACAGAGACUAUCUAUUAAUAAAAGGGUUACAUCCUAUAUUGAUGCCUCCA
rnacentral:lncRNA from 1 species